AUGUCUCUUUGCGACCCCAUGGAAUGUAGCCCAUCAGGCUCCUCUGUCCAUGGGAUUUCCCAGGCAAGAAUACUGGAGUGGGUUGGCAUUUCCUUCUCCAGAGGCUCCUCUGUCCAUGGGAUUCUCCAGGCAAGAAUACAGAGUGGAUUGCCAUUUCCUUCUCCAGGGAAUCUUCCUGAACCAGGGUGUGAACCUGGGUCUCCCGAAUUGCAGGCAGAUUCUUCACCAUCUGAGCUAUAGGCAACCUGCCCAAACACCAUGUGAAAUGCCCUGGGCUAGCCUGAUGGUGUAUAAUGAACCUCAUGGGGUAGAGUGGAGCUGACCCAGCUGAAAGCUGUCCCAGACCAACCAGCACCCCGGUGACCUGGCUGCUGCUGCUGCUAAGUUGCUUCAGUCAUGUCCAACUCUGUGUGACCUCAGAGACGGCAGCCCACCAGGCUCCCCCGUCCCUGGGAUUCUCCAGGAGACCCAGAUUUGAUCCCUGGGUUGGGAAGAUCCUUUGGAGAAGGGGAUCACAACCCACUCCAGUAUUCUUGCCUGAAGAAUUCCAUGGACAGAGGAGCCUGGCGGCGUACAGUUCAUGGAGUGGCGAAGAAUCAGAUACAACUGAGUGACUAACAAUUUCACUUUCACACACUAAAUGGAAACUAAUGUGGAGUAAGUCCAACAUACUUUACUUUAGAAAGUAAAUUGU
ensembl:lncRNA